rnacentral:rRNA from 1 species
UACGGGGGGGGCAAGCGUUGUUCGGAAUUACUGGGCGUAAAGGGCUCGUAGGCGGCCAACUAAGUCAGACGUGAAAUCCCACGGCUUAACCGUGGAACUGCUCGGUAUACUGGCGGUCUUGAGCAACCUAGGGGCGAGCGGAACAAAUGGUGGAGCGGUGAAAUGCGUAGAUAUCAUUUGGAACGCCAAUGGUGAAAACAGCUCGCUGGGGGUUUGCUGACGCUGAGACACGAAAGCCAGGGGAGCAAACGGG